AAUAUUUUAGCCCUCCCACAGUCACACUCACACAGAACAAACCCAAAAGUAUGAUAAAGAACUGGUUUUCCGACACAAUCAAUAUUUUCUGAUACUAUGGAGGCAUAAAAUAUGCGAUAAUAAGGGGCUCAGUUGAUCAAUAUCUAUACCAUACUUAAGUUAAUUAAUUAAUUGAAUGGAUGGAUGCAAUAAUUGAAGGGAAACAAAUUCCUUAAAGAUGACUUGAGAGUUGAAUCAGAUCUUGUCAAUGUAAGGAAUGAGGGAAUGAGGGAAAGAAGGUUGGCGGUGACUAUUGUUUUCUAAGACGAAGUUGAGUGUUCGCGAUAUCUGGGUUUGGGAGGGUUCAGGGUUAUGAGUUGGCAAUUUCUGGGUGUGCACGAUUUCCAGGGAAUGCGUGAUUUAUGGGUGUGCGCGAAUUCGAGGGUUCUGGGUUCACAGAUAGGGUUCACGAUUUGCAGAUGGAAUGGGUGAAGAAAUGAGUUCGCAUAUAUGGUUCACAAGCUAAUUAAGGUUCUAUUUUGAAGAUAAAGAAACGAGUUUGCAAAGGUUUCAUGCAGCAAGGAAUAUGAUUUGUUCAAUGAAAAAACAAGAAUUUUCAUGUUUUUGUUAUAACAAAGUAUAACUUAAGGGUUUAAAGCUUU
rnacentral:lncRNA from 1 species